AUUGAACGCUGGCGGCAGGCUUAACACAUGCACGUCGAGCGAGCGGCGGACGGGUGAGUAAUGUAUGGGAAACUGCCUGAUGGAGGGGGAUAAAUACUGGAAACGGUAGCUAAUACCGCAUACCAUCAGAUGUGCCAAGAUGGGAUUAGCUAGUAGGUGGGGUAAUGGCUCACCUAGGCUACGAUCCCUAGCUGGUCUGGGAGGAUGAACAGCCACACUGGAACUGAUACACGGUCCAGACUCCUACGGGAGGCAGCAGUGGGGAAUAUUGCACAAUGGGCGCAAGCCUGAUGCAGCCAUGCCGCGUGUGUGAAGAAGGCCUUCGGGUUGUAAAGCACUUUCAGCGAGGAGGCGUUACUCGCAGAAGAAGCACCGGCUAACUCCGUGCCAGCAGCCGCGGUAAUUC
rnacentral:rRNA from 1 species